rnacentral:rRNA from 1 species
GUGGGGAAUAUUGGACAAUGGGCGCAAGCCUGAUCCAGCCAUGCCGCGUGAGUGAUGAAGGCCUUAGGGUUGUAAAGCUCUUUCACCGGUGAAGAUAAUGACGGUAACCGGAGAAGAAGCCCCGGCUAACUUCGUGCCAGCAGCCGCGGUAAUACGAAGGGGGCUAGCGUUGUUCGGAAUUACUGGGCGUAAAGCGCACGUAGGCUGAUAUUUAAGUCAGGGGUGAAAUCCCGGGGCUCAACCCCGGAACUGCCUUUGAUACUGGGUAUCUUGAGUAUGGAAGAGGUCAGUGGAAUUGCGAGUGUAGAGGUGAAAUUCGUAGAUAUUCGCAGGAACACCAGUGGCGAAGGCGGCUGACUGGUCCAUUACUGACGCUGAGGUGCGAAAGCGUGGGGAGCAAACAGGAUUAGAAACCCGUGUAGUCC